UGGAAUAUGUGACAUUGUAUAGUGUUCUCAAAUUGAAAUGAACUGUUCAACGACAGUAUGCGUUACAAAUUGCGAAAAUUUGGCAAGAUAUGACAAGAAAAUUGAAUAAUUGUGGUGGACCUGUCAGAGAUGCUACCCACUGGAAAAAGGUGUUUACCGAAUGGAAAUCACAUACUCGACGCAAUAACGAAGCAAAUUUAAACGAAUUAGAAGAAAAGCUUGUGAAGCUUAUCGGCCUUACCAGCAAACCAGAAAGAAAACAUCAGAUCAAAUUGCAAAGUUACACGAACAGUUUUACAAACAAGGUGGGAGUUCUUUUGUCGAAAAUAUGGCUAUUUUAUCAAACAUAAAAGAGAAAACUGAUAUAUGUGAGAUUCGUGAGAGAAGCAGAUGUAGUGAGAUAGGAGUAAUCAAUUCGAACUUCACAGUACAGAAAAAUAAAGCUUUGAGUGAUUCUAGAAAUGAUAGUAGACGUGUAAGCUGUUGUUACGCCAUGAUGGGAUUUACUGUCGAUGGCUCUAAGAAACAUUUUAUGUAAUCAGAAAUCCACACGUCAUUAAGCAAACGUGUUUAAGCAUGUAAAACGUAUAAACCUGCAGGUCCAAGCAUUGAAUCGACAAGAUAGUAUUUUGCUUACUCAUGUGCUAUCCAAAAAUUAAAAAUGUCUAUCUACUUAAUGUACUGAGGGUACUUUUUUGGGAUUGGAACCAUGUAAAAGGUGUUUUUUACAGAUACAGAAAUUUAAAUUGAAAUAAACCUCAUACAAUUCAUGUUAGGGUCAUGGUACUGGCUUUAUUGAAAAGACAAUUAUAUGCCAUUAUAGCGUAAGUAUGAUUUGGGGUAUUUGAGCGACGCGGCUGGCUCGAAUGAAGAGCAAUCCACGGAGGAAGUCUAAUUUCCUACCACUUAAAUUAUACUAGACCAUAAAAAAACACAUCAAACAGGAGGUUUUCUUGGACAUACCGGCGCCUCUUUAAUGGCUUUCGGAUUUUUAAUUUUUGCCGCUCCAAAUUCGCCAAUUUUUUUCGAAAAGCAGCCAGCUCAGUUUCCCAAUCUCACCUGCGCUACGUUCAUUUUAUGUCUACGUCUAUCGACAUAAUCGUUUUUGGCUUAAAUAAACAAAAUUGGCGGAUUUAGCAGCAACGAAAAUCCAGAAGCCAUUAUUGAGACCCCGUCACAUCCAGAAAAACUCACUGUUUUUGUCCUUUACGGUCUGAAAGAAGUUUGGAAGUGGCCGAAAAUUGGACGUCCAGAAUGCUCUUCAUUUGAGCCAGCCGCGGCGCCCAGAUGCCCAAAUCAUAUUAAAGCUAUAAUGGCAUACGAUUGUAUUUUCAAUAGAUCCAGUUAACAUGAUGUUAGUUAGUUUCAUUUCAGUUUAAAGUUCUAUACCUCUAAAAAACACCCUUGACGAGUAGAAAACACGAGUUUGUUUAUGAAUAAUUUCAACUGUAAAAACAACCCCCGUUAAUCUAUUGCAACAAGAGUUUUGAUGUAGGUAUAUCAGAUAAAUAAAUAUUUUCAGUAAUCUA